rnacentral:piRNA from 1 species
UAAGAGUUAAUAAAAUGGGCCAGGAGU